UACGGGGGGGGCAAGCGUUGUUCGGAAUUACUGGGCGUAAAGGGCUCGUAGGCGGCCAACUAAGUCAGACGUGAAAUCCCUCGGCUUAACCGGGGAACUGCGUCUGAUACUGGAUGGCUUGAGGUUGGGAGAGGGCAAUGGAAUUCCCGGUGUAGUGGUGGAAUGCGUAGAUAUCGGGAGGAACACCAGUGGCGAAGGCGGUUGCCUGGAGCUUUGCUGACGCUGAUGCGCGAAAGCGUGGGGAGCGAUCCGG
rnacentral:rRNA from 1 species